rnacentral:lncRNA from 1 species
AAAGAACAACAGCUUGGAACUCUUUAGCCUGGCACCCCCUGCCCACAGCUCCAGUGGAGUCUGCGGUCCGUCACUCCUAAGCCAGCGCUGGGCUGAGCGAGGCAACGGCGCUGUGGACCCCGCAGCCCCGCCGGGAAAACUCCCCUCGCUCCUCUGUCCUCGCUGCGACCGCCGCCCUCAUUUCAUUUGAAUAGAAAACGGGAAAAGUUCCUUCUUGUUCACCCACUGCUUUCCCAAGCCUCCUCCAGCUGCGCCCAGAGCUGAAAUGGCGAUUUUAUUUCUGUCCUGUAUGGGGCCGGACCGAGGAUUACCCCGCCACAAGCUAUCUGCUGGGUUCUGCAUGUUCGUCCCCUACCCCCUUGUGUGAAUUGCUACAGAGUGUGGGAAAGGCGGGAGGGGAAGGGGGCUGUGGGCAUCCCCUGGAUCUGCAGAGCACAGAAGGGGCUGCCUUGGCAGCCCCCAGUUCUCCUGGGCUCCUCCAGUGGGAAUGGGGUUGGUGGCUGGGGGAGGAGGCUCAGGUGCCGUGGUCCUGGCCCUGGGUGCAUGUCGCCUUUGGAAGCAAGUAUCAAAGCCAGCCGGAGCAUGUGCUAUUGUUUCGUUGGAAGUGAGUUCCAAGCCACCGCUUUCCAUCUGUUGAGUGUCUGAGUGCUGCUUGUUGAGAGAGUCUGGUGCACACAGGCUCCUCCUUCCCCGCUGGGGCCUGCUGGAGCCGGCCAGCCAGUGCCAGGGCCAGUGGUCACUUCCUCUCCCUUCCCUGGCCAGCCUGGUCUCCACCUGGUGGAUGGUCACAGGCUUUACAGACACCCCCAGGGCCACCUGGAGCCCUGGUGGCAGCUGGGGUCCUGCGGAAGGUGAGGGCUCCCUGCCUGUCUGUGGGAGUGGCAUCGUCCUGUGAGGAGCUGGACUGGACUGCUGUAUAGAAACUGGAUCGAUGGGGCUGCAGCAGCUGCCCAGAGAGGAACCCUUUCCUCUCCCAGAUCCCCAUGGAGCAGUGCGGUCUUCCAUUCAUCAACAAUCUCAUUCCUGUGUGUUAGUCAUGUUCCUUGGUCCUGGACAGCCUUGGUGGGGAAGUUUCCAGAAGUGGCGCCUGCUCCAUGCCCCCCACAUCAGCCCCAGGGGCUCCUGGUAUCCUAAACCUGCAUCCCUGCUCUUGGCCCGGCUGCCAGGAAUGCUGCCAAUGUCGGUUCCUCUGAAUCAAGGUAAAAAUGAAGGAAACCUCCUGCCUCUGCCAGGCAGGCCACGGACCAGGCGGGGGACCCUGGGUGGGGACCAG